CUCAAACAAAACGGAGAUGUUCACCUCUUUAAUCGCAGAGGCCUAAAAAUCUAUUCGACAACAACCACCGUCUUUCUCUUCUCCCAAACCCGAACUCCCACCGUCUGUUAGAGAUCACGAACGUAACGACUCGCCGCAACACGAAAGGUCGCAACAUAAAACGAUGUAAUUAAGCCUCUCCAUUAAUUUCUAUACACACCCAUUCUUCUACGUUACAUUUAAUUUCCUUUUUUUCCACCUAAAAACCUUCAGAGACAUCUACACUAUAAAUAAUGAGGACGCCAUGAUCAAUUUCCUCAAUGCAAAUAACCUGCAACCUUUCGUGACCUCUCAUCUCCUCUCCUGCUGUUAGAUUUAAAGUCCGGUUGUUCUCCGCUGGCGGUGGUCAUGCUCCUGAUUAAUGAAAAGUCUGUCCCCCUUAUCUUACAUUUCCUUUUUUUAAUCAGUGGCUUUGAUGUUACGAGAAGCAACCACCGUUUCAAACUUUCAGAUUCAUCCAUAGGUUUAAGUUAUUUGCGUUCAGAUAGAUUCGUUCAUUGCUAUAUGAGAACAGAGUACAUGCUUUUGGAUUAGCAGAAGAAUCUAAGAAUUGCUGAUUUUGGAGUGGCUAGAGUUACUUAGAAUCCAAAGGACAUGGUUGGAGAAACUGGUACUCUUGGAUACAUGGCCCCGUAGGUUCUUCAUGAUAAAGCCAUACAACAGAAGAUGCAAUGUUUAUAGCUUUGGGAUAUGUUGUGGGAGAUUUAUUGUUGUGCUACUCCAUCCUGAUCUCGCCUUUGCUGAUGUUAUUUCUGCUUUUGUUCAGGAAGCGAAUCCGGAGAAGCGGUCGUAGAUGGAGGAAGUCGUUAAGAUGCUUUAACGACUUGGAUGAUUCCAGAAGAUCAAAGAACUGGCUGUUUCUGCUUUGUCGCUGGUCGUGGUCCUUGAAUUUACAUUCUUUACCCAUUCCUAACAUCUUAUUAUUAUUAUAUACCUUUCUGCAUUUUGGAUCAAUGCUCUGUUAUUUUCCCGUAUAAUAUGUCUAUCUAUAAAAAGGUUUUUGUUAUUAUAUAAUUUUUGUGCGUUGUGAUGUGAAUAUGAAUAUUGACGUUUGAUUUCAGU